rnacentral:rRNA from 1 species
GGGCGCAWKYCUGAUGCARMCMYGCCGCGUGUAUGAAGAAGGCCUUCGGGUUGUAAAGUACUUUCAGCGGGGAGGAAGGGAGUAAAGUUAAUACCUUUGCUCAUUGACGUUACCCGCAGAAGAAGCACCGGCUAACUCCGUGCCAGCAGCCGCGGUAAUACGGAGGGUGCAAGCGUUAAUCGGAAUUACUGGGCGUAAAGCGCACGCAGGCGGUUUKUUWAGUCAGAUGUGAAAUCCCCGGGCUCAACCUGGGAACUGCAUCUGAUACUGGCAAGCUUGAGUCUCGUAGAGGGGGGUAGAAUUCCAGGUGUAGCGGUGAAAUGCGUAGAGAUCUGGAGGAAUACC